GGCAGCUCAAGGGUAGAGCAUCUGCCUUGCAUGAAGAAGGUCCCAGGUUCAGUCCCCAAAGUCCCCAGGCAGGGCCA